rnacentral:rRNA from 1 species
GAUGAACGCUGGCGGCGUGCCUAAUACAUGCAAGUCGAGCGAACAGACGAGGAGCUUGCUCCUCUGACGUUAGCGGCGGACGGGUGAGUAACACGUGGAUAACCUACCUAUAAGACUGGGAUAACUUCGGGAAACCGGAGCUAAUACCGGAUAAUAUAUUGAACCGCAUGGUUCAAUAGUGAAAGACGGUUUUGCUGUCACUUAUAGAUGGAUCCGCGCCGCAUUAGCUAGUUGUUAAGGUAACGGCUUACCAAGGCAACGAUGCGUAGCCGACCUGAGAGGGGGAUAGGCGACACUGGAACUGAGCCACGGUCAAGACUCCUACGGGAGGCAGCAGAAGGGAAUCUUCCGCAAUGGGCGAAAGCUUGACGGAGCAACGCCGAGUGAGAGAUGAAGGUCUUCGGAUCGUAAAACUCUGUUAUUAGGGAAGAACAAAUGUGUAAGUAACUAUGCACGUCUUGACGGUACCUAAUCAGAAAGCAACGGCUAACUACGUG